rnacentral:rRNA from 1 species
UACGGAGGGGGCUAGCGUUGUUCGGAAUUACUGGGCGUAAAGCGCACGUAGGCGGCUUUGCAAGUUAGAGGUGAAAGCCCGGGGCUCAACUCCGGAAUUGCCUUUAAAACUGCAUCGCUAGAAUUGUGGAGAAGUAAGUGGAAUUCCGAGUGUAGAGGUGAAAUUCGUAGAUAUUCGGAAGAACACCAGUGGCGAAGGCGACUUACUGGACACAUAUUGACGCUGAGGUGCGAAAGCGUGGGGAGCAAACAGG